GGUGCACAUGAUGGUAUUGCGAUCAAAGUAUGAAUAAAUAUGAUUCUAGCUCUUUAAACAACUGAUGCACC